UCUGGGCCCCCACGCNGGGNUGCAAUGGUAGCGACAAUGAGUUCCAAACUCGAAAGAGGGGUGGCAAUCUCUAAACGCUACCACAGUUAUGACUGAGGGCUGUAACUCGCCCUCACGAAUAUGGAAUCCCUAGUAACCGCGUGUCAUUACCGCGCGGUGAAUACGUCCCUGCUCCUUGCACACACCGCCCGUCGUUUCAUCGAAGUUUGCUUUUAGCGAGGUGAUGUUUAAUUGACAUUAUCGAACUUGAGGUAAGUGACGAGGGAAAAGUCGUAACAAGGUA
rnacentral:rRNA from 1 species